rnacentral:rRNA from 1 species
AUGGAACUGGGACUGGGAGCUCCAACUUCUCCGCCGCCAUGGCGUGGCCAUCUCCUCUUGCGCGCGCUCGUCAUCUUCCUCUGCCUCUGGGUUACAUCUGAGGCAAAUGAACAACAUGUGGAACUACCACCAAGAGGAUGGAAUUCCUAUGAUUCUUUUUCUUGGACGGUUGAUGAAAAUGCAUACUUGCAAAAUGCAAAGAUUUUGGCAGAAAAGUUACUACCACAUGGAUAUCAGUAUGCAGUUAUUGAUUACCUGUGGUACCGGAGGUAUGUUGAUGGGGCAUAUACAGAUUCGUAUGGGUUUGACAACAUUGAUGAGUGGGGUCGACCGUUUCCUGACCUCCAAAGAUUUCCAUCAUCCAAAUAUGAUAAAGGGUUCAGUCAAAUUGCCAAUAAGGUUCAUGAGAUGGGCUUGAAAUUCGGCAUCCAUUUAAUGAAAGGAAUAAGUACACAGGCUGUUAAUGCGAACACACCCAUCUUGGAUAUUGAGACGGGAAAACCCUAUGUAGAGAACGGUCGGCAAUGGGCAGCUCGUGACAUUGGCCUGACCCAUAAAACAUGUGCAUGGAUGCCACAUGGAUUUAUGAGUGUAAAUACGAAUAUUGGAGCUGGACGGGCCUUCUUAAGAUCUCUUUACCGACAGUAUGCGGAUUGGGGUGUUGAUUUUGUGAAGGUUGAUUGUAUCUUCGGUACUGAUUAUAGCCCGGAAGAAGUAAUAACUAUUUCGCAGCUCCUGCAAGAGCUUGACCGCCCAAUAGUACUGUCCAUCUCACCAGGAACUGAAGUCACUGUACCAUUAGCUGAAAACAUCAGUGAACAUGUUAAUAUGUAUAGGAUAACAGGAGAUGAUUGGGACAACUGGAAAGAUGUUAGUUCACAUUUUACUGUGUCAAGUGCCUUCGCUGCUGCGAAUAAGAUCGGGGCCACUGGAUUACGAGGAAAAUCUUGGCCAGAUUUAGACAUGCUUCCAUUUGGCUGGCUAACUGAUCCGGGUGUCAAUCAGGGCCCUCAUAGGCCGUGUAACCUUACAUUUGAUGAACAGAAAGCACAGAUGACACUUUGGUCAAUGGCUAAGUCGCCUCUCAUAUAUGGAGGAGAUCUGAGACAUCUCGACAAUAGUACAUUCAGCAUUAUGACGAAUCCUACUCUAUUGAAGAUAAAUUACUACAGUAAAAAUAACAUGGAGUUCCAUUAUGUGUAUGGUGAGACGACUUCUAAUACCAGACAUUCUGGUCACUUGAGUCCUCAAUAUACUGUAAACCCGACAAAACAUGAUGGCAUGGUCGUGGGUCUCACUUCCUGCACCAAUGACCAAGCUAAUGGAUGGUUUGUAUUUCCACAAGAUGGGAAGUCAGAUCAUAUAUGCAGGAUCUAUGAAACAGAGAAUGGCAAAAAUGUCUCAUUUUGCUUGGGGAAAACAAAACCUCUUCUUGCCUCGGAUGAUGAUAUCAAUGAAAAGGAAGAAGACCAAACAAAGUUCCAUCUGGCAGUUGCAGACAUUAAUGAUUCUUGUUUGGAUGCAUCUGCUAGUCGGCGGCGGACUGCCUCAGAGGUUAAGCUUCUCAUGUUCUCCAGGUGCAAAUGGCAUGCAAGGCAGAUGUGGGAGCUGAAUGACAAGGGUAACCUUGUGAGCAGCUAUUCAAGAUUAUGUGCCACGGUGGAAUCCAGCAAGGAAGCAGUAGGUAUUACUGGAGCUCGUGCAUGGAUUGCAACUGGAAGUAAAGGGGAAAUCUACCUCGCAUUCUUCAACCUUGACUCAGUAAGCCGGAAGAUAACCGCGAGAAUAUCGGACCUGGAAAAGGUUCUUGGGACAGCCUUCGUACGAAAACACUCGUGCAGCUGCAGUGAUGUUUGGAGUGGGAGGAAUCUUGGUCUCGUCGAGGAAGAGAUCUCAGCGGCGGUGAAUCCACACGGUUGCGUGGUGUUCGAACUCAUGUGUUGA